ensembl:snRNA U6 U6 spliceosomal RNA
AUGCCACAGCUUCGGCAGCACUUAUACUAAAACUGGAACAAUAGGGAGUUUAGCAUGGCCCCUGUGCAAGAAUUAUAUGCAAAUUUGCAAAACAAUCCAGAUUUUA